UAUUUAUUUACAUUUGAAAAUGUGGAUUUCUGAAUUUUGUAAAAUAAAAGGUUUUCUACCCCUCGUGGUAGCGUUUUUUAAAAGAAUAAAAGUUUCCGUGUAGGAAACAGUUUUCAAAAGAUUUUUGUGGAUUUCUGUUUAAACCUUGAAUGUAAAACUGUGAUGUGAAUGGUGAAUGUAUGAAUGUAUAGUUAUCUUUAUAUUCAUCUGGUUGUGGUUGUAUCCUGGUUGUACUGUGUAUUUGAUCGACGCCGUGCAAAUACAGGGGAGAUUCUGUCCGUGUGAACAAUGGAUUCCCUGUAUUUGUGGCGGAUCUGGCAUACUCUAGGGUCAGGUUUUCAAAAAAAAAAAAAAAAAUUCAGACGCUUUUCCGCUUUGUUUUAAACUGAAAAGGGACCCCGGGGCGUGACAGAUGCAGGGAUAAACAACAGUACAGAGGAAUAUAACUAGCCGCUACUUUAAUACAGAACAAAGUGUAAGUGUGUAUUAAUCGGACGAUCAGUCCUA
rnacentral:lncRNA from 1 species